rnacentral:rRNA from 1 species
UACGUAGGGUGCAAGCGUUGUCCGGAAUUAUUGGGCGUAAAGAGCUCGUAGGCGGUUUGUCGCGUCUGCUGUGAAAACUCGGGGCUUAACUCCGGGCCUGCAGUGGGUACGGGCAGACUAGAGUGCGGUAGGGGAGACUGGAAUUCCUGGUGGAGCGGUGAAAUGCGUAGAUAUCAGGAGGAACGCCGGCGGCGAAAGCGACUCUCUGGCCUGUAACUGACGCUGAGGCGCGAAAGCUAGGGGAGCAAACGGG